rnacentral:lncRNA from 1 species
UCACGACACGACGCACAAACAUUUGUCUAUAGUCCAACUUUGCGCGUGACGUAAGUCGGUCGGUCGUCGUACAAAGUUUGGACGGCCGGAUACCCUGCAUCGAUCGUUCUCCACCCUAUAUACGGAGCUGAAAGUAGGUAAACGUGAUGAAAGCAUCCGAGUUUGAUCGAGCUAGCCAACCAUUGGAGACCAUGCAUGUCACUUUUCGGUGCAUUUUUUUCGUCUAAGAUAGCUCUGUCCACCUUGGUGCCUCGGUGCGUGCAUGUCACCUUCCAAAGUAUAUAAAAAAAACACAUGCAUCACCCAUUUUCUGCAGUAUAUAUAUAACCGCGCUAGCUGCCGUAAAUAUCUUGCACAAUUAAACCGUCAUGAUUUCGCUUGUAAUUAAUAAUCUAGCAUUCUAGCUUCCGUCAUGGGCACAACUAGCUAGCAUGUGCAUAUAUGACUGAUAUGAUCAUGUGUGGCGUGGUGUAAUUAAUAUUCACUAAAAACAUCAUAAAUAAAGGGUAAUAUGUACCUCACCAUCGCGUCGUUAUGUAUUUUGUUGUUUUUUAUGAGCAGUCAAAGCUGUAAACUAAUAAUGAUGUAUGGACGCC